rnacentral:rRNA from 1 species
GACGAACGCUGGCGGCGUGCUUAACACAUGCAAGUCGAACGGAAAGGCCCUGCUUUUGUGGGGUGCUCGAGUGGCGAACGGGUGAGUAACACGUGAGUAACCUGCCCUUGACUUUGGGAUAACUUCAGGAAACUGGGGCUAAUACCGGAUAGGAGCUCCUGCUGCAUGGUGGGGGUUGGAAAGUUUCGGCGGUUGGGGAUGGACUCGCGGCUUAUCAGCUUGUUGGUGGGGUAGUGGCUUACCAAGGCUUUGACGGGUAGCCGGCCUGAGAGGGUGACCGGCCACAUUGGGACUGAGAUACGGCUCAGACUCCUACGGGAGGCAGCAGUGGGGAAUAUUGCACAAUGGGCGGAAGCCUGAUGCAGCAACGCCGCGUGCGGGAUGGCGGCCUUCGGGUUGUAAACCGCUUUCGCCUGUGACGAAGCGUGAGUGACGGUAAUGGGUAAAGAAGCACCGGCUAACUACGUG